rnacentral:rRNA from 1 species
UACGUAGGGGGCAAGCGUGUCCGGAAUCAUUGGCGUAAAGAGCGCGUAGGCGGUCCGGUAAGUCGGUUGUGAAAACUGGGGGCUCAACCCUCAGAGGCCGACGAUACUGCCGGCGUAGAGUCCGGAAGAGGCGAGUGGAAUUCCUGGUGUAGCGGUGAAAUGCGCAGAUAUCAGGAGGAACACCAUGGCGAAAGGCAGCUCGCUGGGACGGUACUGACGCUGAGGCGCGAAAGCUGGGGAGCAAACAGG